rnacentral:rRNA from 1 species
AGAGUUUGAUCCUGGCUCAGGAUGAACGCUGGCGGCGUGCUUAACACAUGCAAGUCGAACGAAGCACUUUAUUUGAUUUCCUUCGGGACUGAUUAUUUUGUGACUGAGUGGCGGACGGGUGAGUAACGCGUAUCCAACCUGCCCAUCACUUGGGGAUAACCUUGCGAAAGUAAGACUAAUACCCAAUGACGUCUCUAGAAGACAUCUGAAAGAGAUUAAAGAUUUAUCGGUGAUGGAUGGGGAUGCGUCUGAUUAGCUUGUUGGCGGGGUAACGGCCACCAAGGCGACGAUCAGUAGGGGUUCUGAGAGGAAGGUCCCCCACAUUGGAACUGAGACACGGUCCAAACUCCUACGGGAGGCA